rnacentral:sRNA from 1 species
CCUUAACGCCAUAUUUAUUCCCCGUUGCGAUUUUGAUAUAUUGAAUAUGCCACCAAAACGAUCCUCCACGGGUCCUAAAGAGAAGCGAACACGUCAGUCUAAACUCGCCAAAGAGAACGGUAUAACCGGCGAUGAAGAAGCGGAAAUCAAAGAAGCGUUCCAUAUCUUCUCUACAAAACGCGACGACUAUCCUUCAGAGAAGGAAGGCGUAAUUAAAACCCAAGAUGUUCGGCACGCGAUGAUAGCCCUCGGCAUCUCACCCACAGACCAACAAGAACUAGCCUCCAUCCUCUCCGCGGUCGACCCCACCGCCACCGGCUUUGUCCCGUACGAACCAUUCCUCUCCGUCUGCGCAUUGAAGCUGCACUCUCGCGACGAAGACGCCAUCUUUGCUGAAGUCGAGCAUGCGUAUAAACUGUUCACGCGCGGGACCGCGGGGCCCAUAUCUGUGGCACAUUUAAGGAGGGUGGCGAGGGAUUUGAAGGAGGAUGUUAGUGAGGAGCUGUUGAGGGACAUGGUGAGAGAGGCCAACGGUGGGGAUGGAUUGCAUGCCGGUGUCUCGUUGGAGCAGUUUAGGG